rnacentral:piRNA from 1 species
UGACUGAUUACAGCAUGUGGCAGGGA